UCCUACGGGAGGCAGCAGUGGGGAAUUUUCCGCAAUGGGCGAAAGCCUGACGGAGCAAUACCGCGUGAGGGAGGAAGGCUUUUGGGUUGUAAACCUCAAAACUUAGGGAAGAAGAAAGUGACGGUACCUAAUGUAAGCAUCGGCUAACUCCGUGCCAGCAGCCGCGGUAAUACGGAGGAUGCAAGCGUUAUCCGGAAUUAUUGGGCGUAAAGAGUCCGUAGGUGGCUAAUCAAGUCUGCUGUUAAAGACUAGAGCUUAACUCUGGAAAGGCGGUGGAAACUGAAGAGCUAGAGUUCGGGAGGGGUAGAGGGAAUUCCCAGUGUAGCGGUGAAAUGCGUAGAGAUUGGGAAGAACACCAGUGGCGAAGGCGCUCUACUGGACCGAAACUGACACUGAGGGACGAAAGCUAGGGUAGCGAAAGGGAUUAGAUACCCCUGUAGUCCUAGCGGUAAACGAUGGAUACUAGGCGUAGUCUGUAUCGACCCGGACUGUGCCGAAGCUAACGCGUUAAGUAUCCCGCCUGGGGAGUACGCACGCAAGUGUGAAACUCAAAUGAAUUGACGGA
rnacentral:rRNA from 1 species